AAUAAAUUAACAACGCAUAUGAACAGUUGAUGCAAAACACAGCAUACUGCAUUCCUUUUGGUAUAUUUGUGACGCACGCGCAGAACUACCAUACUUCGGGGUCCAUAACUUUCACAUAAGCGUCCUAAGUAAAAAACCUAUAAUCAGAGUGGCGCCAUACGAGAGAUAACGUCACAUUUUAGUGAAAUUCUGCGAGAGAGAAAGAGAUAUACGGUCUCAGUCUAUCCAACAGACUGUCAGUUUUAGGGUUAGGUGCAACAGCAUUGAACGACAUAGAUACGUAAAGGUACAUUGAUAAAAAUAAAAUUAUCGAAAUUAUUUUAGAAAUAUGGUUAGAUGUACAAUACCGUUUUGUAACAAUUCAUUAAAAAAAGGAUAUGUUAUGAAAAUAAUUCCGAAAGACACAGAACGCCGAAUGAAUUGGUUAAAGAGUAUAAAUGGCAAAUAUAAAAAUUGGACACCGUCAAAAAAUUCAUCUGUAUGUGAGAUGCAUUUUGCUCCUAAAAUGUAGGAACAGAGAAUGGAUAAUAAACUAGCGUAUUUAAUAGCGCAAAUAAUGUACAAUAAAUAACGUUUUGUAUAAAGUAAU